rnacentral:rRNA from 1 species
AACGAACGCUGGCGGCAGGCUUAACACAUGCAAGUCGAGCGCCCCGCAAGGGGAGCGGCAGACGGGUGAGUAACGCGUGGGAAUCUACCCAUCUCUACGGAAUAACGCAUGGAAACGUGUGCUAAUACCGUAUACGUCCUUCGGGAGAAAGAUUUAUCGGAGAUGGAAGAGCCCGCGUUGGAUUAGCUAGUUGGUGGGGUAAAGGCCUACCAAGGCGACGAUCCAUAGCUGGUCUGAGAGGAUGAUCAGCCACACUGGAACUGAGACACGGCCCAGACUCCUACGGGAGGCAGCAGUGGGGAAUAUUGGACAAUGGGCGCAAGCCUGAUCCAGCCAUGCCGCGUGAGUGAUGAAGGCCCUAGGGUUGUAAAGCUCUUUCACCGGUGAAGAUAAUGACGGUAACCGGAGAAGAAGCCCCGGCUAACUUCGUGCCAGCAGCCGCCGCGGUAA